GCCCUUAGAGUUUGAUCCUGGCUCAGGAUGAACGCUGGCGGUAUGCUUUACACAUGCAAGUCGUACGAGAGUUUUUAACUCAAGUGGCGGACGGGUGAGUAACACGUAAGAAUUUGCCUUUAGGAGGGGGAUAACAACUGGAAACGGUUGCUAAUACCCCAUAUGCUUUCGAGUAAAAUGGAUUUUCCGCCUAAAGAGAAGCUUGCGGCUGAUUAGCUUGUUGGUGAGGUAAUGGCUCACCAAGGCGACGAUCAGUAUCUGGUUUGAGAGGACGAUCAGACACACUGGAACUGAGACACGGUCCAGACUCCUACGGGAGGCAGCAGUGGGGAAUUUUCCGCAAUGGGCGAAAGCCUGACGGAGCAAUACCGCGUGAGGGAUGACGGCCUAUGGGUUGUAGACCUCUUUUUUCAGGGAGGAAUCAAUGACGUGUACCUGAAGAAUAAGCAUCGGCUAACUCCGUGCCAGCAGCCGCGGUAAGACGGAGGAUGCAAGUGUUAUCCGGAAUCACUGGGCGUAAAGCGUCUGUAGGUGGUCAAAUAAGUCAACUGUUAAAUCUUGAGGCUCAACCUCAAAAUCGCAGUCGAAACUAUUCGACUAGAGUAUAGUAGGGGUAAAGGGAAUUUCCAGUGGAGCGGUGAAAUGCGUAGAGAUUGGAAAGAACACCGAUGGCGAAGGCACUUUACUGGGCUAUUACUAACACUGAGAGACGAAAGCUAGGGUAGCAAAUGGGAUUAGAUACCCCAGUAGUCCUAGCCGUAAACAAUGGAUACUAGAUGUUGAACAGAUCGACCUGUGCAGUAUCAAAGCUAACGCGUUAAGUAUCCCGCCUGGGAAGUAUGCUCGCAAGAGUGAAACUCAAAUGAAUUGACGGGGAAGGGC
rnacentral:rRNA from 1 species